rnacentral:lncRNA from 1 species
CUCCUGGCUUGCUUUUCUGCAAAUUCAACCAGUUAAUGCAGCUGAAAGCAGGUCUGGCUGACCAGCUUGUUGGACGUGAUGUUCUUGCCCCAUAUUGUCAGGUGAGAAUACAACACUGACUGCAAGAGCCGAGCUGUACUACAGACAGGGCAACAAGGAUCCCCUGCCUCAGAGAAGUAGCAAAACAGACAUGAAGCAUGAUCAUCUCUGCUUCAUAAUGGAAGACAGAAGCAUGGGAGACUUGAGACAAACAAAAGGAGGAAGACGAGAAAGAAGGUUGUUAAAGCUUUAAAUCACUGCAUGGUGUGACCAGAAAGGUGGCUUCUGACAGCAGCAAGCCAAGUCCAUCAAGCAGCUGUACAUGUGAUCCAACACCACCAGCAGCCAUCCAACCUACAGGCACUGGACUUUGCACUGAAGGGAUCCAUUCACAAGCUCUGACCUCUGUGCAGUGACUUCUGGCAGGGAAGAGUAACAGCCAGCACUAAUACCUUCCUAAAAAUGCUUUAGUUGACAGCCUUUUCCAGUUUUGACAUUAUCAUUCAAGUCAAUGCCACGUCAGAACGGGAGAAGUAUACUGACAUAUAUUUGCUGAUGUGAAACACAAUAAAAAGUGAUGCACAGCUGUUAACUCUCCA